UACAGAGGGGGCAAGCGUUGUUCGGAAUUACUGGGCGUAAAGGGCGCGUAGGCGGCCUGCUAAGUCGAACGUGAAACGUCCCCGGGCGUCAACCCGGGAACUGCGUCCGAUACUGACAGGCUUGAAUCCGGGAGAGGGAUGUGGAAUUCCAGGUGUAGCGGUGAAAUGCGUAGAUAUCGUAAGGAAGACCAGUGGGCGAAGGCGGGU
rnacentral:rRNA from 1 species